ensembl:lncRNA
GCAAUGCCUUGGCUGUGAGGAAGACUAAGUUUUUAAAUACUGUUUAAAGAAAAGAUGCAACCUAGCCUGAGCAUCUGGAAGAUCUGGUUGGGGUCAGAGUAGCACAGGAUUCGGUCAACCCCAGUGCCGUGAUUGAUGGUGUGAGCAAAGCCUUGUUGGCGCCAUCUCGAAGGCAGGUGCCCAUUAAGAGAAGACAAGGAUGAAGGUGUCUUGCAGGACUUACAACUCCCCUAUCAGUGCUGGGCAGAGACUACUGCCACCACCCUCAGCACCUCAGAGGAAAAAGCUGCACAUGCCUUCAGGAAAGCAGGAAAAGCUGCAAAAUUUGGGGACAGAGCCCCACCUCGUGGAAAGGACCUCAGGCCCUGCUUACCAGAGGCUUUUGUGGGUUGGCUUGUGUGCCCCAGCAUGACCUCAUGCCUCACAUCCUGCCUGCUGCUACAUUAAUUAGUCUAAUAAGAGGUUUUAUCUCAGUGUCAGUCACAGUCACACUGCACACAGCACAGGAAUGGAGCGGUUCCUGGGUCUUCCUCUCCCACAGUUCAAGAUAUUCUGUGCAGCUCACGGCUCACCCCUUGCACAGGUGCCAACAGUGGAGGCAGAAGUUUGCGUGCUCUCCCCAUGUCCAGCAUGGAUCACAGGAGUCUCCGCACUCAGGAUGCCCAUGAUGGCCUCUGAAUAUCCCUGCACCGUCCAUGGGCUGCAUUAGAGGUAAACCUUCCUUUCAGCCUCUGAAUAUCCCUGCACCGUCCAUGGGCUGCAUUAGAGGUAAACCUUCCUUUCAGCCUCCUCGCCUGCCUUGGCUGCCGCCUGCGGUGGGAAGGUGGCUCUUUGGGGUGAGGGUUGCACGCUUGGUGCCUGGUGCAUGGGUGACAUCUACCGGCCGUGCCUUCAGCUUCCUUCUG